UUCUCCUGGAAAAAAGGGUGGUAAUGCCGGAUGCUCCAGUUUACCGCAUGGUCUGUUGGGAAAGCUUUCGCGGUAUGGGAUGGGGUCGCGUCCUAUCAGCUUGACGGCGGGGUAACGGCCCACCGUGGCUUCGACGGGUAGCCGGCCUGAGAGGGCGACCGGCCACAUUGGGACUGAGAUACGGCCCAGACUCCUACGGGAGGCAGCAGUGGGGAAUAUUGCACAAUGGGCGCAAGCCUGAUGCAGCGACGCCGCGUGAGGGAUGGAGGCCUUCGGGUUGUAAACCUCUUUUAUCGGGGAGCAAGCGAGAGUGAGUUUACCCGUUGAAUAAGCACCGGCUAACUACGUGCCAGCAGCCGCGGUAAUACGUAGGGUGCAAGCGUUAUCCGGAAUUAUUGGGCGUAAAGGGCUCGUAGGCGGUUCGUCGCGUCCGGUGUGAAAGUCCAUCGCUUAACGGUGGAUCCGCGCCGGGUACGGGCGGGCUUGAGUGCGGUAGGGGAGACUGGAAUUCCCGGUGUAACGGUGGAAUGUGUAGAUAUCGGAAAGAACACCA
rnacentral:rRNA from 1 species